GAUGAACGCUGACAGAAUGCUUAACACAUGCAAGUCGAUGGGGAAGUGGUGCUUGCACCAUGGUAACCAUGGCGGACGGGUGAGUAACGCGUAAGGAACUUGCCUGCGGGACCGGGAUAACAGCAGGAAACUGCUGACAAGACCGGAUAAGGUCAUUAAGCCGCAUAGCUUAGUGAUGAAAGGAGACGCCUGCGGAGAGCCUUGCGUCCUAUUAGCUAGUUGGAGGGGUAACGGCCCACCAAGGCGAAGAUAGGUAGCCGGCCUGAGAGGGUGGACGGCCACAAGGGGACUGAGAUACGGCCCUUACUCCUACGGGAGGCAGCAGUGGGGAAUAUUGGACAAUGGGGGCAACCCUGAUCCAGCAAUUCUGUGUGCACGAAGACGGUUUUCGGAUUGUAAAGUGCUUUCAGCAGGGAAGAAGGAAGUGACGGUACCUGCAGAAGAAGCGACGGCUAAAUACGUGCCAGCAGCCGCGGUAAUACGUAUGUCGCGAGCGUUAUCCGGAAUUAUUGGGCAUAAAGGGCAUCUAGGCGGCCUUUCAAGUCAGGGGUGAAAACCUGCGGCUCAACCGCAGGCCUGCCUUUGAAACUGAUAGGCUGGAGUACCGGAGAGGUGGACGGAACUGCACGAGUAGAGGUGAAAUUCGUAGAUAUGUGCAGGAAUGCCGAUGAUGAAGAUAGUUCACUGGACGGUAACUGACGCUAAAGUGCGAAAGCCGGGGGAGCAAACAGG
rnacentral:rRNA from 1 species